rnacentral:rRNA from 1 species
UGGGGAAUAUUGGACAAUGGGCGCAAGCCUGAUCCAGCCAUGCCGCGUGAGUGAUGAAGGCCUUAGGGUUGUAAAGCUCUUUCACCCACGACGAUGAUGACGGUAGUGGGAGAAGAAGCCCCGGCUAACUUCGUGCCAGCAGCCGCGGUAAUACGAAGGGGGCUAGCGUUGUUCGGAAUUACUGGGCGUAAAGCGCACGCAGGCGGUUCGAUUAGUCAGAAGUGAAAGCCCCGGGCUCAACCUGGGAAUUGCUUUUGAUACUGUCGAGCUUGAAUCACGGAGAGGGUAGUGGAAUUCCGAGUGUAGAGGUGAAAUUCGUAGAUAUUCGGAAGAACACCAGUGGCGAAGGCGACUACCUGGCCGUCGAUUGACGCUCAUGUGCGAAAGCGUGGGGAGCAAACA